CGGAGAGGGAGCCUGAGAAACGGCUACCACAUCCAAGGAAGGCAGCAGGCGCGUAAAUUACCCAAUCCUGAUACAGGGAGGUAGUGACAAUAAAUAACAAUGCCGGGCCAUCAUUGGUCUGGCAAUUGGAAUGAGAACAAUUUAAAUCCCUUAUCGAGGAUCAAUUGGAGGGCAAGUCUGGUGCCAGCAGCCGCGGUAAUUCCAGCUCCAAUAGCGUAUAUUAAAGUUGUUGCAGUUAAAAAGCUCGUAGUUGGAUUUGUGGCGUACGGUGUGUUCCGGGCACUUGUUGUCUGAGUAACCUGCCGUUGCCAUCCUUGGGUGGAACCUGUGUGGCAUUAGGUUGUCGUGCAGGGGAUGCCCAUCGUUUACUGUGAAAAAAUUABAGUGUUCAAAACAGGCUUAUGCCGUUGAAUAUAUUAGCAUGGAAUAAUGASAUMGGACUUUUUCGCUAUUU
rnacentral:rRNA from 1 species